CAAGCAGCGGAGCAUGUGGUUUAAUUCGAAGCAACGCGAAGAACCUUACCAAGGUUGACAUCCCCUUGACAGAAGCAGAGAUGUUUCCUCCCCUUCGGGGGCGAAGGGAGACAGGUGGUGCAUGGUUGUCGUCAGCUCGUGUCGUGAGAUGUGGGUUAAGUCCCGCAACGAGCGCAACCCUUAUCCUUAGUUGCCAGCAGGUUAAGCUGGGCACUCUAAGGAGACUGCCGGUGAUAAACCGGAGGAAGGUGGGGAUGACGUCAAAUCAUCAUGCCCCUUAUAUCUUGGGCUACACACGUGCUACAAUGGUCGGUACAAAGAGAAGCGAAAGAGUGAUCUGGAGCAAAUCUUCAUAAACCGAUCCCAGUUCGGAUUGUAGGCUGCAACUCGCCUACAUGAAGUUGGAGUUGCUAGUAAUCGCGAAUCAGAACGUCGCGGUGAAUGCGUUCCCGGGUCUU
rnacentral:rRNA from 1 species